rnacentral:rRNA from 1 species
AGUGAACGCUGGCGGUAGGCCUAACAAAUGCAAGUCGAACGGCAGCACAGUAAGAGCUUGCUCUUACGGGUGGCGAGUGGCGGACGGGGGAGGAAUACAUCGGAAUCUACUUUUUCGUGGGGGAUAACGUAGGGAAACUUACGCUAAUACCGCAUACGACCUACGGGGGAAAGCAGGGGAUCUUCGGACCUUGCGCGAUUGAAUGAGGCGCUGUCGGAGUUGCUAGUUGGGGGGGGAAAGGCCCACCAAGGCGACGAUCCGUAGCUGGUCUGAGAGGAUGGACAGCCCAAAUGGAACCUGGACCCCGGCCCAGACCCCAAGGGAAGCCACAGUUGGGAAUAAUUGACAAUGGGCGCAAGCCUGAUCCAGCCAUACCGCGUGGGUGAAGAAGGCCUUCGGGUUGUAAAGCCCUUUUGUUGGGAAAGAAAAGCAGCAGGUUAAUACCCCGCUGUUCUGACGGUACCCAAAGAAUAAGCACCGGCUAACUUCGUG